rnacentral:rRNA from 1 species
GCUUGCUCUUAUGAAGUUAGCGGCGGACGGGUGAGUAACACGUGGGUAACCUGCCCAUAAGACUGGGAUAACUCCGGGAAACCGGGGCUAAUACCGGAUAACAUUUUGAACCGCAUGGUUCGAAAUUGAAAGGCGGCUUCGGCUGUCACUUAUGGAUGGACCCGCGUCGCAUUAGCUAGUUGGUGAGGUAACGGCUCACCAAGGCAACGAUGCGUAGCCGACCUGAGAGGGUGAUCGGCCACACUGGGACUGAGACACGGCCCAGACUCCUACGGGAGGCAGCAGUAGGGAAUCUUCCGCAAUGGACGAAAGUCUGACGGAGCAACGCCGCGUGAGUGAUGAAGGCUUUCGGGUCGUAAAACUCUGUUGUUAGGGAAGAACAAGUGCUAGUUGAAUAAGCUGGCACCUUGACGGUACCUAACCAGAAAGCCACGGCUAACUACGUGCCAGCAGCCGCGGUAAUACGUAGGUGGCAAGCGUUAUCCGGAAUUAUUGGGCGUAAAGCGCGCGCAGGUGGUUUCUUAAGUCUGAUGUGAAAGCCCACGGCUCAACCGUGGGAGGGUCAUUGGAAACUGGGAGACUUGAGUGCAG